rnacentral:rRNA from 1 species
UACGGAGGGUGCAAGCAUUGAUCGGAAUUACUGGGCGUAAAGGGCGCGUAGGCGGCCUGGCAAGUCGGAUGUGAAAUUCUGCGGCUCAACUGCAGAGCUGCAUUCGAAACUACCAGGCUAGAGCAUAGUUAGGGAAAACGGAAUUCCACGUGUAGCGGUAAAAUGCGUAGAUAUGUGGAAGAACACCGGUGGUGAAGACGGUUUUCUGGGCUAUGGCUGACGCUGAGGCGCGAAAGCUAGGGGAGCAAACAGG